UACGGGGGGGGGCAAGCGUUGUUCGGAAUUACUGGGCGUAAAGGGCUCGUAGGCGGCCAACUAAGUCAGACGUGAAAUCCCUCGGCUUAACCGGGGAACUGCGUCUGAUACUGGAUGGCUUGAGUUCGGGAGAGGGAUGUGGAAUUCCAGGUGUAGCGGUGAAAUGCGUAGAGAUGUGGAGGAACACCGAUGGCGAAGGCAGCCCCCUGGGUCAAGAUUGACGCUCAUGCACGAAAGCGUGGGGAGCAAACAGG
rnacentral:rRNA from 1 species